AUGGUGUCUCACAACUCAGGGCCCCUCCUGCCCCCCCAUAUCCAAAGCACAGCUGAGGCCAAGUCCUUGGCUACACAGAAGAUAAAAGAUGCUGCCAGCAGAGUCCAGGGACUGCACUGUGUCCCAGCAUCCCAACCAAACCAGCACAAGUGGAGGGGCCAGUGUUCCUCUGUCACAGCUGCAGAGGGGGAAGGGGAAGGAGAUGGGGGUCAGAGAAAAAUCACUGGCAGGUUUUUGUGCGGGUCUGCUUCACAGUGUGCUGUGUUCGGCGGUGGGACCAGGCUGACCGUCACAGGUCAGCCCAAGGCAUCCCCCAUGGUCAUGGCCUAUGGUCCAUCCCAAGAUGAGCUGAGAACCCCCACAGCCACACUCACGUGUCUCAUCAAUGACUUCUACCCAGGCUCCCUGGAUGUGGCCUGGACCAAGAAUGGCUCCCCUGUGUCCAGUGGGGUGCUCACCAGCAGGCCAGUCCGCCAGACUGACAACAAGUACUCAGCCAGCAGUUACCUCUCAGUCAACUCCAAUCAAUGGGGGAGAGAAGACAUAUUUAUCUGCAAGGUGACCCAUGAGGGCCAGGUCAUACAGAAGGAGCUGUCUGCCAGCCAGUGCACAUAGAGGCCCUCACCCUCCAGGACCCCUCACUCCAUCCCCACACAUGGGCAGCCCCAGCUCAUCAACCACUCUCCCAUGCUUCUAAUAAACACUUUUCCUUUCUCAUUCAA